AAGCUAGAGACGUACUGUAGAUUUACUUGAGGUAUUUUUACUAGAAGUUAACAGAUUCACGUUUUCUGCAAUUGUACACAUGCCGGCGCUGCCCGGCCAAACAGAAGGGGGAAAGCAAAUAUACAGUACAAAAAAGAUUGUUCAUGAAUUAAACAUAAUCUACAUUAAACUACGUUGUUUUCCUUGUAGUUCUUCUUGUAUUUCAUUCAACGGGGGGGUUUGUGAACUCAACCUGUAACCCUUCGGAUUACCCUCCCAGUGACAGCGGCAGGAUCAGAGAGGAGCUUUUCAGAGCUCAAGUUGAUUAUAACUUCGGAAAUACAGCAUUAAAAUCCAGUGAAAAACUUUCACAUCCAGGAGAGAGUGAAUAUGGUGUAUGACAGAUUACGCACAAGAGAGCCCAUUUUCAGCUGGAAAGAGGUGGUUUAUAGGAAAUAUUAAAGUAAAAACAGUCAAAAACACUGGACUUCACAAGACCCUACAGAAGACCCUGUGACUAGUUACUGAUGAAUUAUAAAAACUGAUCCGUUGAAAGUCACUAACACUGUAGAUCAGCAAAGAACUUCACAGGAAAGAACAUGCUGAGCUGCAGGGGAUCUGGCAGAAGACCAGUUUCAGGAGGAGAAGGACAGGGCUGGAGCCGAGAGAGGAAGAAGGAGGACCUCGCACAGAGAGAACAGGAGAAGGAAUUCCGUCUUGGUAGAUCCCAAAGACUUAUAGGGAAGAAAAUCUGGGAGAGGAGCGCAGUGCGAGGAGUGUACAGUGAGCUGUACACAACAAGGGGAAAGAUAAAUGUUAGUGGUAAUCAAGUGCUUGCCAGGACUUCCUGGAUGAGGUUAAAAGAAGAAACACAGAGGCAGGCGGGACUUUUCCAAAAGCUUUUCUCAAGAGGAGAUCAGGAAGAUUUUGCCCCAAGAGCGCAAUUAGGUGUGGCAACUCAAAUUCCUUAGCUGUUUGUGAUUGCCAGGGGACAGAAGACUCACAGGGGUGGGUGUAUUCUCUGAUCUUUUUUAGUACAGUUUUUAUGAGGAAUGUCCACAGAGGUUACAUUGCUUGGACAACAAAAAGUGAUGCCACGGUGAAAAGCUUGUGAGAAUUGUUUCUGGCUCUUCACUUUUAGCAGCCUGUUUUAAAGACGCCUAUCCCAGACCCUCUCCUUCCCCAGAAAUGGGUUCGGCUGGGUGCACCCCUUGCUUCCUUCAGGGAUGAGUACCAGUCUGCUGCAGGGUCGGUCCUUCUAUUGCCGGGAAUGGGCCCUGAACAAGAUCCAGCACUGGCUAGAGAGCCGGGCUGUGGGUCGGACUCAGGGGGUCGUGAUCACCGGGGGCCCGGGCAGUGGGAAGACUGCCCUGUGCACCGAGCUGCUCUGGCCAACUUCCGAGGCCUGGGCCCGCGCUAACCUGGCAUCCCGGUGCCUGGCUGCCCACUUUUGCCAGUGGGAAGACAGAAGGACGGUGUCAGUGUCCGGCUUUAUCCUGGGAUUGGUGGAGCAGCUCCAGAAGAGCCCCCAGCUCUUGGGCUACAGUGAAAGAGUGGCAGCCCCCGCAGUCCAGACAGCUUUGGAGCCACUGCAAUGUGAGAGGGACCCCGACGAGGCUUUCAAAAGGGCAGUGCUGCUGCCUCUGCUGGACGUACCCGCUCCAUCCCAGACCCUGCUUCUCCUGGUGGAUGGUCUCGACUCCGGGUGGAUGGAGGUGGCUGUAGAUAGGCAGGCUGUGGAGAAGAGCAGCUCCAUCGCGGAGCUUCUGUCCAGCCACCAGCAGCUCCUCCCAGGGUGGCUGCUGCUCAUCUGCUCCACACGCCGCCAGAACAAAGCAAUAAGCAAAAUGUUUUCAGGUUUCCGGAAGCUGUGUCUUGAUGACCUUCGCAAGGCUCACACUGUGCGAGAUGUGCAGCAGUACAUCCUGUUGCGGCUGGAUAAGGAGGGAUCCCUUCGGAGGCAUCUCACGCCUGAGACAGCCGACAUGCUCAACCAGUUGCACAUUAAGAGCAAUGGGUGCUUCCUUUUCCUGGAGCGAGUCCUGGAUGGGGUGGUGGAGAACUUUGUGGCCAUAAGAGAGAUUCGAGACAUCCCGGGCACACUGAAUGGGCUGUACCUGUGGCUCUGCCAGAGGCUUUUCCCCAGAAAGCUUUUCUCCCGGGUGCAACCCGUGUUGAAUGUCCUACUGGCCACUCCCCAUCCCCUUACGCUGAAUGAACUUUAUACUGCAGUCUGGACAAAAGAUAUGGAUCUAGCCCUUCCUGAUUUUCAGGGCAAACUGGAUGCCCUUUCUAUGGUCUUGAUUGAUGGACCUCAUGGCACCAAGCUCCUGUUUCAUGCCAGCUUUGCUGAGUGGCUGACAGAUGUCAAGUAUUGCACACAGAAGUACCUCUGCAACCUGGCUGAGGGCCAUGGCAUGCUUGCUAUGUCUCUCACUCUCCGGGGACCACAGCUUUCCUCAGAGGAAGUGUAUCGACUUGCCUUUCACUUGGUCAGCUCUAACUUGCAUUCAGACAACCUGACUCUUUUGGCAUUGUGGAUAGUUUGGAAUGAUGUGCCUUCUUUCACAGGUAAUUCCCUGGAUCCGGACUCUUUACCCCUUACUGCAGUUCAACAGGAAGUUCUGCAAUUACUAAUGAAAACUGGUCUUUGCUCACCUUUGUUCUCAGAUUCCAAUAAUUUGUGCAUCGGAUGUGUAUCAAAUGGAAGAGUAAUUAGAAAAGCCCUGGAGAGAGAGGACUCUGUUCGAGUUUUAUUGGAAAAUGGUGCAAGUGUAAACCAGACUGAUCCCAGUGAUGGACGGUCUUUGCUAGCUAGUGCAGCCCAUGCAGGUUCAGCAGAUGUGGUGGCCCUACUUCUCUCUAGAGGAGCUGAUCCAGAGAUCACUGAUAACCAUGGACAGACACCUCUGACUUUGGCAGCUCGUCAGGGCCAUGCCAAGGUGGUGCAGUGCUUGCUGGGGUGGGCCCGAUGUGAGAAUGGUGCCUUACGAAUGAUUGACCAUGCUGAUAUUGAAGGCUGGACUGCUCUGCGCUCUGCAGCAUGGGGUGGCCACGCAGAGGUUGUUCGUCUUCUUCUAGAUGCUGGUGCAGAUGUGGAUGGAUGUGACUCCGAGGGACGGACAGCCCUGCGGGCUGCAGCCUGGGGGGGACACGAGGAAAUAAUCUGUACUUUACUAGAUCAUGGUGCACAGGUUGACCUCCCAGACCGGGAUAGACGCACUCCUCUCAUUGCAGCAGCCUACAUGGGUCAUCGGGAUGCAGUAGAGAUAUUGCUAGACCAUAAUGCCCAGGUAGACCUGCGGGACAAAGAUGGACGUACAGCCCUGUCAGUGGCUGCCCUGUGUGUGCCCUCAGCUGCUGGACGAGGCUACGGGGAUGUAGUGAGUUUGCUUUUAGACCGAGGAGCUGAUCCUGGUCACAAGGACCAAGAUGGGAUGACUCCUUUGCUGCUGGCUGCCUAUGAAGGCCACGAGGAGGUGGUGGAGUUGCUUUUAGAAGCUGGUGCAGAUGUGGAUGAAGGGGCAGGGCUUCAUGGUGGUUCUGCUGCAGUGACACCAUUGCUUGCUGCAGCCUCAAUGGGUCACAUUUUGGUAGUGAACAUGCUGCUCUUUUGGGGGGCAGCUGUUGAUGCUAUUGAUGGUGAGGGACGCACAGCUCUGAGCCUGGCAGCAACCCGUGGCAGUGUGGAGGUAGUGCGAACACUACUGGACCGUGGGCUGGAUGAGAACCACAGAGAUGAUUUGGGCUGGACACCCCUGCAUGCAGCUGCCUGUGAAGGGCACAGAGGAGUAUGUGCAGCCUUAACUGAGCGGGGCAGCAUGGCCAGAGUGAAUGAGCUAGACAAUGAUGGGAGAACACCACUUAUCUUGGCUGCCCAGGAAGGACACUGUGACACUGUGAAACUGCUGCUUGACAGGCGUUCCCCCAUCAGCCACAGGGCUUAUGAUGGGCAUUCUGCACUAAGUGCAGCUGCCCUUGAAAACCACAGAGAAGUGGUGGAACAUUUGUUGAGACGAGGAGCUGAUCCAGACGUUAGGGAUGCUGAGGGCAGGCCUUUGCUUUACCUCCUAGUUCUUGAAGGGUGUCUUGAUAUGGCAUCCCUGUUCCUUGAAAAAGCGAACGUUCCAUUGGAAUCUCAAGAUGCUGAAGGUAGGACAGCUCUGCAUGUGGCUUCUUGGCAUGGACAGCUAGAGGCCAUCAGGCUGCUUCUUCAACAUGGCGCUAAUGCGAAUGCUCAGGAUGUAGAGGGUCGUCCUCCUUUACAUUCUGCUGCAUGGCAGGGCCAUGCAAGUGCUGCAAGCCUCCUUAUUGAAUCUGGGGGUGCAAAUGUGGACCAAACGUGUCACCAGCAAGCAGCCACUGCCCUCUGCAUUGCUGCCCAGGAGGGUCACACAGAGGUAGUAGAGGUCUUGUUGGCAAAAAGAGCUAACCCAACCCAUGCAGACAAGUAUGGACGUACCCCUGUUAAAGUAGCUGGCAAGAGAGGUCAUACCAAGAUUGUACGACUUUUGGAGAGCUAUGGGGCACCACACUAUGUGGGAUUAUUGCCCUCCUCCCCUUGUAUGCAGCAGUCAGAGACAUGCACCAUGAAGACUCAAUCCUCUGGGAUUACGUCUGCCAGCUCAGGAAGCACAGGAGAAAACUAUAGGGAUCAAGGGCUGCCUUCUCUUCAGCACAAUCAGACAGCCAGCUCCUCGUCUUGUUCUCCUGGAUCUACCACUGAAAGGUACAAAUCUUUAGUUGCUUCAGAAAACUCUGCCCAGAGCUCCAAGAACUCAUCUUCCACUUGCCACUCCCUGGCAACUACACAGACGGUGCCGGUGGAUAGCUUGAGUUUCACACAGCAGAUCCAGCAGCACUCACUUCCACGGAGCAGAAGCAGGCCCUCCACCGUGGUGUCCCCAAACUCCACACUGCGCAGCAAUGGCAACAAACACAAAGUCAGUCCACUUUCACCACAGCCCAUUUUUGACUCUGCUGUUCCAGGCAAGCCCAUUGUGGUCUCAGGCUCUGUGGUGGCAAUGGGAGACUGUCUGAAGCCCAAGAUUCCUGCUCCCCCUCAAAAGGCUGAGGGUCUUGGGAUGAAAGUCCUGGAAAAGACCCAGAGUCCCCAGCUCACUGGUGGGGGAAAGUGGAACUCUGUCAUGGCUUCUCUUGGUGUUACACCUGGGCAAGAAAGUCCUACACGAUCCCUAAAGACAAGGGACAGCCCACCUCUUGGAUAUCCUAUCACAGGGAGUCCAACGGGAGGCUCUCAGCAGGAAGAGAGGGAUGUUACUCUGAAGACGGCUGAACCCCCUCUCUGCAUUCCAGCUGGACCCAGUCCCAGUGCCUUACCAGCUGAGCCUCUGUUUUCCUUAACCACCAUGGACCCACAACUACACCUUAAACAAGCCAUCAAGCUGCAGUUUGAGGGACCAACUAGUGCUGUGCUCUACAAGAGGGAAACCCCUUUGUAAGGUCAAUGUGGGGACGUGAAAUGGCUGGAAAACAGUGAUUUUAAGACUUCCUGUGAAGAGGAGAGGAAAUUACCACUGACAUUGUCUCUUAACAUUCUAAUGAAUAGGUAACAGCGCAGCCAUCUCUUGAUGCUAUCCAGGUUGGGAUAAGCUGGUUGAACAAGGACAGAUCGGAGAGAAUUUAAAUGUAAGUGCAUGGACUCAUAAAUGGAGGCACACGAAUGUACUGUACCUGGCUACAGUGAGGGCUUUCUUUUAAACCAGAACUGAAUGCAAGAGAAAGUGUUUUUGAACAUUAGUAGGUUCAGAAGAUUGCCUAGAGCGUGUCCUAACUGGUUCUGAUCAUGCCUAUAGGCAAAUACAAUACAAACAACAUGGUAUAUAUUUUACAGGAUCCCUGAAGGUUAGAGAAGUUGGUGGUUUGGACCAAGAUAGGCAAGGGUGACUGCAACACACUAGAGUAGGUCCAGCCUCUGGUCAUUAUGGUUAUAUUUCCUAUUAUGCAGUGUAAAUACAUGAAUGUGUGGGGUUUAUGUACAUAGAUCCAACUCUGCCACAGUACUGUUAAGGAGGACCUGCCACAAUGACAUAACUGAGAGAUGUUCCAUGAAGGAGCAGUUAAAUGAGCACUUUCUAUAAAGCACCAGGCUUUAAGUUGGAAACUGGAGGUAGAGAAGAAACCUGCUGUGGUGUGCUUACUAUUUAUCAGGAAACAUCACCAGUGCGUUUCCACUUCCAGAAAGGUUUGCUGAAAAAUGUGCCUGGGUGUAAUUGAUGGCAUUGUUCAGCAGAGCUGUGUACUUGACUCUUUAAUUUGAAUAACAACUGCAAGAAUGUCAGCACUGUGUGGCUAUAUGGAUAAGUGGAUAAGAGGGGUUCAUCUACUGAAAGAGGGUAAGAAUUUCUCAAGUCUAUAUGUUUUCAGAAAUUCGUUUCAGAAUCAGAAAUACUAAUUUACUUAUCAGAAAUAAAACAGUUUUAAUUGUUUUAUUCAUUGAUUGCAAAGAAUAUUCUGAAAAUCCUGGUACAGGAUAUUCUAAUCUGAAUACAAAAGGAAAUCAGUCCAUUAAUUUUAAUUACUUGUAAAUCUUUUCUAAUAAAUAAAUUAGAACCAUUUCAUCCAUCUCUAGUGUUAUGCAGUCUGGCAGCUGAAUUUCACAUGUUCUCACUGAUUGAAGCAAUAAAGCUAUUGAGAUAUGUAAAAGGAAAUUAAAAUAUAAUUGUUAGUAGUCAUUAAAGCUUGUUUUUUAAUCCAAGUUGAAAUCUACUUCAAUACAAGAAGAUCUUAUAAUUCACUUUCCAAUUCCAGCAGUCACUGUUGACAGUGUUUUCAGAUGCAGUAUUAACUGAAAUGACCAGAUAUUUACGUUUGUAUCAGAAAGAGUUUAAAGGACGCUAAAGGACACAGCAGUAUUUAGUCUGGCUGCAGUUUUUUCUGUCAAUGUAUGUCUUUUCAGAAAAGCAAUAUCAUAUAUAAAUAGUCUGUAAAUCUUUGCUAAUUGCAUAAUACUGUAGUGCAAAUUGGAGGAAAAAAAACAACGUCAUGUGAAAGCAGGAUUGGAAAGUCAUCACAGUGAUCCUACAACAAUUCAUGUGGGGAUGCUCUUUUGUUAUUUUUCUGCAAUUUGUGGUGUGUUUAAAGAUUUGAAGGAGUUGAAAAUGGAUGCUAUUCCAGGUUUAAAAGGACUCCGGGACUGAGUCUUGAGAUGUUGGAACCUUGCUUUUUAGGGUGUGAGAGGUUCUGGGAAGAGGAUAGCAUCCUUAUGGAAGUUGACAGUGAGUCUACAGCAGUGUUUAACACUUCAGCACGCGGGAAAUAUUUUCUUACAGGAGAUGGUACCCUAUGGCAGAAUGAGGUGUCUGAAUCAUAGAGGAUCAACAUGAGUGAAUCGGGGGAGUGAAUUGUACUACUGUUUAAAGAUUACAUUGGUUCUUGUGUUAGUGGUUUCCUUUAAUUGAAUUUGAUUGACCUCAGCCUGUCCAGUGUGUCAGUGAUGAGUCGGUUGAGCAAAGCACAUCAUCCAUCAGUGUGCAAGGUCACUCCUUCCUCAGAUGGUUAGUAAUGUUUCUCCACAUUCACUGGCUAAGGUGGCACACAAAUUCGAGCUGAACCUGCAGGAGUGAAAACGCCCCACAUGCCUGAACACAGGCACCUCAGAUGACACAACUCCUCGUGGUAAUGGUAAUGGGCAGACAGUGUGGCAGCGAGACAAAGAGUUGUGCUUCUCACCCACCUUCACUCUAGAUCCACUAGCCCCUGCCUGGACUGUCGUCUGACUGAGCUUCUCUGGUGAACACAAAAGAGAGAGGGCUGCAGAGAUGUACAGCCGCGACUACCCAGUCUCCACAGUCUCUUCAGCUGCUGCUUUUCCAGCCACACCAUCAGUGUGAUGUUGGCAGCCGAGCAUGCGGUCUAGAUUGAGCCCAGUCAGAUCAGGCUGGAGGGUCACUUAGGAGGGCCCAUUAAGUCUGACAGCCAGUUCUCAGCUUGCCUCCCUGUUGCUCACGGGGAGAGCUGAGCAGUUGGUCUUCUGAUUGUGGAGGUGCGUGCGUAGUCCUGACUGUUGCCCUGUCUUCACAAGUGUCUUUGAGGCAUGAGGGUUUAGUACAAGAGGUUUGUGGGGGGGCAGAGGCCAAGACUGAUCCUUGAGUACUGUUUUAAAGCACUGGCAUCAGCUCGGGAUGGAAAAGAUUAAAUAUUUAACUAUACAGUUGUGUUCAAUAGUGUAGGCACCCCUGGUCAAAUUAUUUUUUUAAUCGGUUAAAAUUGGCAAAUAAAUAGUAAUUGUGCAUUCAAAUUUGCAGAAUCAUGUCACGUUUAAGUUUGCACCAUGCAGAGGUUGUGCCAACUUCUUUUCACUUAGAGAUUCUUUGAAACAUGCAAUUUAACCAGGGGUGCCUAGACUUUGGCACACAACUAUGAAUAUAUAAAUAUGUUCCUAAAACCGAUUAAACAUUAAAUUAAUAUUUUUUUACAUAAAACUUAACGUUUAAUACGUGUACAUGAUACGGCUGAUGUGAGCACCUGUGAUGAAGAUCACGCAACAUAAACUGUACAUUUUGGACUUAUUAGGGCACUUUUAAUAGAGGCCGGUAAGCCAGGACUCAAAUUUCACUUCGCAUCUGUUUUUUUUACUUGUGAUGGGAAGUGCAUUAGUCCAUACAGAAAAACGAAAGCUGCAGAACAUGAACGUUAGUAUUUUCAACAAAACAGCAGGGGCUUUCUGGCAAAAGAAUGUUUUGAAAACACCAAACAGAAUUUCACUGCAACACAUAACACUUUUAAGAUAUUUUCAAUGGGGUUUUAUAACAUUAGUAUUAUCUAUGAAACAAAUUAUAUAAAAUAGUUUAAAAACAUUUUUCAUUAAAUGUUAUUUGCAUCAGAUCAACAUUAAUAUUAAACAGCAGUACAGUUUUGAAGAGCCCCGAAAGGAAAAAAUGAAUUAGUCUGUGUAGGUGGAGUAUAAAGAAGGGAUGGUGCACAGCAUUAAUGCAAAUUUCCCUUUUCCAGUAACAUCCAUAUUUUCAGAAACAAAUAUAAUACUUGUUUUCAGAAACAAGUUUGAAUGUGGCAGACAGUUUUAAUAUUUUAACUUUUUGUUAACCAUGGAUGGCUUAUGCAGUAGAUGAUCUCAUGAGCACUGUCCUUAAAUACAAUAUUGCCAAUGGGGUCUUGUCUUUGUUUAUAGGAAGUAUUGUCAUAUUUUGAAUGCCUGUCUUUUCUGGUACUUAAUAGUUUUAUGUGAAAUUAAGUUAUAGUACACUCUUAUGAACCACUGUCACCUCUUAGGAAUUUAGUUUGAUUUCACCAACGUAUUCCUUUUCUAAUAAGAGCAUGUGCACUUACCUUUUCUAAAAGACACAAAUGUAUUAUUCCAAAUUGUUUGUUUUUCACCUUUUGAAAGAAUGAGCCUUUUCAAAUGUUCUAUAAAUCUAUUUAAAAAACUGCCUUGAAUUUUAAAUUGGCAUAUCAGUGUUCUUAUUGGAAGACACCUGAAGGCAGGAACACGGACUCCUUGGAGAUGAACAUGAUGAAUGAGGUGUAAAUAACUGCACUUUUUCAUGGGCUGCAUACAGUAUAUGAAACAAUAUCACUGUAUCAAUAUGAAGUGAUAAUGUUGUGUCAAGCAAGAAAAACAAGGAAAAGGUUUUUAUAUUGUUUUAGCAUUGCUUAAAAGUGUAUCUAAAGCUUUUGAAAACUAGGAGGUGAAAACUGUUUUUAGUCAAUUUUGAAAUCAGUGAAACACUUAAUCUUGUAUUGUUUCUUCCAUGUCUAAGAAAUGUGUUGCCUUUGUAAUUGAUGCUAACACAGACAAGAGCCAUGUUGUGUCAUGAAGGGCACUAUAUAAAAUAAUGAUUAGAAUCAUAGGUAUUGGUCAGAAACCCUGAAAAUGGAGAUCAAGAGGAAGUGCUACCGAAGCAUUAUUGUACAAGGCUGUGCACAGGGCUGCAUUCCUCAGUUUGAACAGGUAAAUCGAAAACAGGUCUGUUCUGUCAGUUGCUUAUUCUUUCUAUGGGGUGUGUACAGUUUGGGGUUAUGAUUCUAAUGCACAUUUCUCUUUUUAAAAGCUACUGUUUGUGUUUACUAUUGUACAACACAGAGGUUUGUUAUUUUUCUAAAGGGUGCUUAAUGUAUUCUGCAUCAGUGGUGAAUUUUGAACAUAAAUUCUUCUUUUGUAACAUGUCGGUGAAUAUAUCAUUGACGUACAGUAGUAUCUGUUUAAAUACUUGUCCAAAGAGAAAAUUUGCUAACGUGAAGCACUUUACAAAUAAAUGAACUUUUCCAAAAUUUAAACAAAAAUAUAUUGGCUCUAUGAUAUGUUUCAGGUUUGUUGUAUUUAUUUUAAAUCACCUUUUUGUCGAAAGUACUUGAGUUAUUUUUCCAGACUUGUUACUUUGUAAAUGACAGUGAUGACUCUUUGCGUACAAGUGGGUCCCACACUGUCAGUCAGGCGGUGUUCUGAGAGACCAGCUCCAGGUCAAGGCCUGAAAUGAACAGUGUUGUCUUUCCAUCUUCUAAUUAUGGAAGACAAUCAAAAGUUCUUGCACGGUUUUCUGUAAAGAACCUAGAAUCUUAUCUGAAUUCUAGAGGAUGACUACAGUACAUUGGAUUAAAUUAACUGUGGGUGGUUCAUGUGUUGAACAACACUGUCAUUUCAAAGCCAAAAAAAACACUGUAUACAGUACCAUAGCAGUCACCCACUAUGAACAAACAUAAUGGAAAACUCUGUGAAUGUCUUGUUUCAUUUUUUAAAUAAAAACGUUUA